rnacentral:rRNA from 1 species
AUUGAACGCUGGCGGCAGGCCUAACACAUGCAAGUCGAACGAGUGGCGGACGGGUGAGUACUGUCUGGGAAACUGCCCGAUGGAGGGGGAUAACUACUGGCAACGGUAGCUAAUACCGCAUACCAUCGGAUGUGCCCCGAUGGGAUUGGCGAGUAGGGGGGGUAACGGCUCACCUAGGCGAAGAUCCCUAGCUGGUCUGAGAGGAGGACCAGCCACACUGGAACUGAGACACGGUCCAGACUCCUACGGGAGGCAGCAGUGGGGAAUAGUGCACAAUGGGCGCAAGCCUGAUGCAGCCAUGCCGCGGGUAUGAAGAAGGCCUUCGGGUUGUAAAGUACGUUCAGCGAGGAGGCGUUACUCGCAGAAGAAGCACCGGCUAACUCCGUGCCAGCAGCCGCGGUAAUAC